rnacentral:rRNA from 1 species
AGAGUUUGAUGGUGGCUCAGGAUGAACGCUGGCGGCGUGCUUAACACAUGCAAGUCGAACGAAGCGAUUUAGCGGAAGUUUUCGGAUGGAAGCUAGAUUGACUGAGUGGCGGACGGGUGAGUAACGCGUGGGUAACCUGCCUCACACUGGGGGACAACAGUUAGAAAUGACUGCUAAUACCGCGUAAGCGCACAGGACCGCAUGGUCCGGUGUGAAAAACUCCGGUGGUGUGAGAUGGACCCGCGUUUGAUUAGCUAGUUGGUGGGGUAACGGCCUACCAAGGCGACGAUCAAUAGCCGACCUGAGAGGGUGACCGGCCACAUUGGGACUGAGACACGGCCCAAACUCCUACGGGAGGCAGCAGUGGGGAAUAUUGCACAAUGGGGGAAACCCUGAUGCAGCGACGCCGCGUGAGUGAAGAAGUAUUUCGGUAUGUAAAGCUCUAUCAGCAGGGAAGAAAAUGACGGUACCUGACUAAGAAGCCCCGGCUAACUACGUGCCAGCAGCCGCGGUAAUACGUAGGGGGCAAGCGUUAUCCGGAUUUACUGGGUGUAAAGGGAGCGUAGACGGUAAAGCAAGUCUGAAGUGAAAGCCCGGGGCUCAACCCCGGGACUGCUUUGGAAACUGUUUAACUAGAGUGCUGGAGAGGUAAGCGGAAUUCCUAGUGUAGCGGUGAAAUGCGUAGAUAUUAGGAGGAACACCAGUGGCGAAGGCGGCUUACUGGACAGUAACUGACGUUGAGGCUCGAAAGCGUGGGGAGCAAACAGGAUUAGAUACCCUGAUAGUCCACGCCGUAAACGAUGAAUACUAGGUGUUGGGGGACAAAGUCCUUCGGUGCCGUCGCAAACGCAAUAAGUAUUCCACCUGGGGAGUACGUCGCAA